rnacentral:lncRNA from 10 species
AGUGAAAAAGGGAAGUGAAAGUAGAAACAGAAACUGCAGCUGAUUCUAGAAGUACAGCAGUAAGGGAAGGAAAUACAUGCCUUCAAAUUCAGCAAAAUAAGCAGAUUCAUUUUAAGGAUGAGGACAAGUUAGACAGGUUUGUAAGCUAAAAGAGAACAGCCACGACAGAGGAUACAGUGAAGAUUCAAAAAACGGUGGUGAAUAUUGAAAAGGCGUUGGAGGACACAUAAUAGAAUGCAAAGUCCACAAGGAGAGGGGCUUUGUGUCUUGUUUCACACUGUGUCCCCAGGCUUAGAAUAUUCUGGCAUCAGAAGGCACUCAGUAAACAUAGAGAGGAAGAAAGGAAGAAGAUGAAAUCAGGAGUACAGAUUAAAGUGUUAUCUUUGGAAGACAGGCAAGACAUCCUUUGGGACAGAAGGGAAGGAGAGAAAGCUGGGGAACAUGCAGAUAAUACAAGAGGUGCGGUUUGUGACUGAUGGCUGCUAUUUUCUCUGUGAGACUGAAUCCAGACAACUUUGGACAUUCCUUCAUUUGAAGAAUUUUUACUGAACAAUUACAGACCAUUGAUUGAUACAGUGAAGAUCAGAAUGGCAUAGUUUUCCUGUCUUCAUGGAGAU